AGAGUUUGAUCAUGGCUCAGAAUCAACGCUGGCGGCGUGCCUAACACAUGCAAGUCGAACGCGAAAGUGGAGCAAUCCAUGAGUAGAGUGGCAAACGGGUGAGUAACGCGUGGGCGACCUACCUUCGAGUGGGGGAUAACCUUCCGAAAGGAGGGCUAAUACCGCAUGACAUCCCGUGUUUGGAUACACGGACAUCAAAGCCGGGGAUCGCAAGACCUGGCGCUUGAAGAGGGGCCCGCGUCCGAUUAGCUAGUUGGUGAGGUAACGGCUCACCAAGGCUCCGAUCGGUAUCCGGCCUGAGAGGGCGGACGGACACACUGGAACUGAGACACGGUCCAGACUCCUACGGGAGGCAGCAGUGGGGAAUUGUUCGCAAUGGGCGCAAGCCUGACGACGCAACGCCGCGUGGAGGAUGAAGACUUUCGGAUUGUAAACUCCUGUCGACCGGGACGAAUGCACCCGACCUAAUACGUCGAAGUGUGACGGUACCGGUGAGAG
rnacentral:rRNA from 1 species